rnacentral:rRNA from 1 species
ACUACGGGGGGCUGCAGUGGGGAAUAUUGCGCGAAUGGGGGAAACCCUGACGCAGCGAUGCCGCGUGGGUGAAUAAGGCCUUCGGGUUGUAAAGCCCUUUCAGUGGGGAAGAUGAUGACGGUACCCACAGAAGAAGCCCCGGCUAACUCCGUGCCAGCAGCCGCGGUAAUACGGAGGGGGCGAGCGUUGUUCGGAAUUAUUGGGCGUAAAGGGCGCGUAGGCGGUUUAUUAAGUCAGGAGUGAAAGCCUCAGGCUCAACCUGGGAACUGCUUUUGAAACUGGUAGACUAGAGUCCGGCAGAGGAUGGUGGAAUUCCCCGUGUAGAGGUGAAAUUCGUAGAUAUGGGGAGGAAGACCAGAGGCGAAGGCGACCAUCUGGACCGGUACUGACGCUGAGGCGCGAAAGCGUGGGGAGCAAACAGGAUUAGAUACCCUGGUAGUC